rnacentral:rRNA from 1 species
UAGGGAAUCUUCGGCAAUGGACGGAAGUCUGACCGAGCAACGCCGCGUGAGUGAAGAAGGUUUUCGGAUCGUAAAGCUCUGCUGUAAGAGAAGAACGAGUGUGAGAGUGGAAAGUUCACACUGUGACGGUAUCUUACCAGAAAGGGACGGUUAACUACGUGCCAGCAGCCGCGGUAAUACGUAGGUCCCGAGCGUUGUCCGGAUUUAUUGGGCGUAAAGCGAGCGCAGGCGGUUAGAUAAGUCUGAAGUUAAAGGCUGUGGCUUAACCAUAGUAGGCUUUGGAAACUGUUUAACUUGAGUGCAAGAGGGGAGAGUGGAAUUCCAUGUGUAGCGGUGAAAUGCGUAGAUAUAUGGAGGAACACCGGUGGCGAAAGCGGCUCUCUGGCUUGUAACUGACGCUGAGGUUCGAAAGCGUGGGGAGCAAACAGGAUUAGAUACCCUGGUAGUCCACGCUGUAAACGAUGAGUGCUAGGUGUUAGACCCUUUCCGGGGUUUAGUGCCGUAGCUAACGCAUUAAGCACUCCGCCUGGGGAGUACGACCGCAAGGUUG